UGGGGAAUUUUGCACAAUGGGGGAAACCCUGAUGCAGCGACGCCGCGUGAUUUAGAAGGCCUUCGGGUUGUAAAAAUCUUUUCUAUGGGAAGAAAAUGACAGUACCAUAGGAAUAAGGACCGGCUAAUUACGUGCCAGCAGCCGCGGUAAUACGUAAGGUCCGAGCGUUGUCCGGAAUCAUUGGGCGUAACGGGUACGUAGGCGGGUAAGCAAGUUAGAAGUGAAAUCCUAUAGCUCAAAUAUAGUAAGCUUUUAAAACUGCUCAUCUUGUGGUAUGGAAGGGAAAGUGGAAUUCCUAGUGUAGCGGUGAAAUGCGCAUAUAUUAGGAGGAAUACCGGUGGCGAAGGCGACUUUCUGGCCAUAACCUGACGCUGAGGUACGAAAGCGUGGGUAGCAAACAGG
rnacentral:rRNA from 1 species